GAGAGAUACAUAGACUUAAACAGCUUUCACAGAUCGUAGCAAAUACUUGGCUGACUCUUUUGGAAGCUCAUUAAGUCCUUGGUGGGUCACAUUACACCAGGCGGUUAUGCAUGUUUUGGACACUCCAUGAUUGCUUUGACCUGUUUUCCGAAUCGCCUCCUAGGGCGCAUGUGGUCUCUCUGUGCCCGAGCUCUCAGCUGGUACAGAGAAGCAAGCUGGAGCAGACGGAAGGACUCGCGCCGAGGGACAGAUAUGCCAGGGGAGCUGGUAGUGCCCUCCCGGGCCCCACGAACAUGCUUCGAUCUGCUCUAGUGAGAAGAGAAAAUACAUUCACGCUGAGAAGACAGCAUUGAAUUCUUCCCAGCUUGCAGUCCUCAUGGUCGGUGAAGAACAGGGCAUUUGACUGGUUGAUUUUCAAAGCCCUGCCAAGGGAUGUAGAUGUGAUGGCUGGAGCUUCGGCAUCCAUAUUGAGCCACGAGGCAACCACAAGGAUGGAAGAGCAGAGAGAGAAAAGGAGUCUAGAUUCCUGAGCAUCUUGGAGCCACCACACUGACCCUGAUCCUUAUGACAC